rnacentral:rRNA from 1 species
GACGAACGCUGGCGGCGUGCCUAAUACAUGCAAGUAGAACGCACAGUUUAUACCGUAGCUUGCUUCACCAUAGACUGUGAGUUGCGAACGGGUGAUUAACGCGUAGGUAACCUGCCUGGUAGCGGGGGAUAACUAUUGGAAACGAUAGCUAAUACCGCAUAAUAUUAAUUAUUGCAUGAUAAUUAAUUGAAAGGUGCAAUUGCACCACUACAAGAUGGACCUGCGUUGUAUUAGCUAGUAGGUGAGGUAACGGGUCACCUAAGCGAAGACAGAUGUCCGACCUGGGAAGGUGAUCCGCCACACUGGGACUGAGACAACGCCCAAGAUCCUAACGGGAGCCGCAGUAGGGGAUCCUCCGGAAAGGGCGGAAGUCUGGCCGAGGAAAGGCGCCUGGGGGAAGGAGGUUUUCCGAUCGUAAAGAUCUGUUGUAAGAGGAGAACCAGUUGGGGAAUGAAAAGUUCACACUGUGACGGUAUCUUACCAGAAAGCGACGGCUAACUACGUG